AUUGAACGCUGGCGGCAGGCCUAACACAUGCAAGUCGGACGGUAGCACAGAGUGCUUGCUCUUGGGUGACGAGUGGCGGACGGGUGAGUAAUGUCUGGGGAUCUGCCCGAUAGAGGGGGAUAACCACUGGAAACGGCGGCUAAUACCGCAUAACGUCGCAAGACCAAAGAGGGGGACCUUCGGGCCUCUCACUAUCGGAUGAACCCAGAUGGGAUUAGCUAGUGGGCGAGGUAAUGGCCCACCUAGGCAACGAUCCCUAGCUGGUCUGAGAGGAUGACGGGCCAAACUCGAACUGAGACACGGUCCAGGCUCCUACGGGAGGCAGCGGUGGGGAAUAUUGCACAAUGGGCGCAAGCCUGAUGCAGCCAUGCCGCGUGUAUGAAGAAGGCCUUCGGGUUGUAAAGUACUUUCAGCGGGGAGGAAGGCGGUGAGGUUAAUAACCUUGCCGAUUGACGUUACCCGCAGAAGAAGCACCGGCUAACUCCGUGCCAGCCGCCGCCGUAAAAC
rnacentral:rRNA from 1 species